ACCGCGUUGCUCCUUCCUCCAGUCCAUAACCAUUGAACUAAAUAAAAUUAACAUAUUUAAGAUCUAACAAGUUGGUGUGGACGAGGACAUUGAAUUGGCUAAACAAGUUGACAAACCCUUCUUUACCUCAAAUUUUCAAAUCCUUCCAUUGUAGCAAAUCAACAUUCAUACUUUCAUUGUAGCAAAUCAAACGAGCAAAGACAACUGGUUUGGAUCGAUCGAGAAGCAGAGCAAAGUGAAGACAACGGAAGGUUCUUUGAGGCUUUGAGUCAUGGAGGGUAGACCAAACAGUCAAAAUCCAUUGUUCGUGAACGUAGCUUCAGGGGAAGGCAUAGGAGAAGAAACUCUGGGUACUGACAUAUCAAAUGGGGGACCUAGCUACUCUGUUGGAGGUGGUAGUUCAAACCCAGAUGAAAGUUUAGAUGGGUCAUUUGAUGAGAUUUGAAAUGAUAGAGAGGAUCAAAGUUUUGGUUAUGGUUGUGAAGUAGAAGCGGUUGUAAUUAAAGAUAUGGCUGAUAUAAUGAAGAUCGACUUAAACAAUUUUCGUGUAGCAGAUGUACGAAAGUAUGAAUUUGUUGGGCUGGAUGUCGCAUACAUGUUUUAUUGUUGGUUUGCCAAAACUUCUGGGUUCUCUGUUCACAAAGGUCAUGUGGUUAGAAAUCACGAAGGGAACAUUCUACAACAAACAUUGUGUACAAGAAUCAAAGACACCAGUGAUUGUUCCUUCAAAUACAACAUAAAAAGUCAUUUUUUUCCUUUAACCAAACUCAAAAACAAGGAUGUAUUGAAGGGAAUGGUGUAGGUUAUGUUAAUAUAUAUACACGAAUGAAAUGACAUA